AAUAAUAAUUGAAUUUUACCAUCAACAGGCUGAAAAGUGCAAGUGACAUCUUUGUUUUUAUUACAGUAAGAAAACAAACAGUGGAAAAAAGGUCUGUGCUGAUUUUGCCGCUUCCGUUUCUAAUCUCAUUCUGACCGGGACUGAGCAAUUUAUACGCCGGCCGAUUGGUCUCUUCUUUCCGUCACUCUCACGGGACCACUCCCAGAAGUUCAAACGCGCACGACGUCGUGAUCAAGAUGUAUUAUAUAUCCCAUCACAAGCCAAAUAAUGAACAAAUAACCAAUAAUCAUUUCUGCUGCGGUUUCGCGGUUUUUUUUUUUUUUUAACAAUUCAGGUAAUCAUGAUGGCACCCACUAACCCAUCAUCUGAGCAAGAAUGGCUUGGACAACAGCUUGAAUGACCGUUUGAAUUGUUUGAUUGACAAAAGCUUGGAUAUCGGGGCGUGGUUGUAGUUGGAUGAAUUCGUGUUGUUGAGUUGCCGAAUGCCCUGCUGUACACAAGCAGAUAAGAAGGAGCAGGGCUCAUGAAUUGGUUCAAAUGUGGGUCGAAACCAGAUUCCUGAAGCAUAGGGUGUUUCCUCUGAGAGACAGCCAGCAAGGCUUCCAUCAAUCGCUGCUGGGUGGCUGGACCCAUGGUAUUCAUCAAACCGUCUGAAAAAUGGAGCAGCACGGAAAAGACCCAAUUGAGACGAGUGUUGUAUGCCAAAUAAGGGUUUACGAAUGUAGUAGUCUGGCUUACCAUAAUAGUAAUCGUGCUGUAAACUGCUGUGAUGCUGGGGCGGUUCGACCCAUUGUCCAUGAUAAGGAAGCAUGAACAGCUGUCGUGAUUCCCGGCCGGAAAUAACCGAUUCACUUGGCUCUGCUGGUUUGCCAUUUGCCGUCCACAAAGUCGCCACUAUCUAAUGAAAUCAAAUGGGGUCGAGGGGUUUAAAUGAUUCGUAUUAUUCUCCAUCUCACCAUUUUCAUCGAGGAAGGAACUCAAAUCCACAGGAGACAGUCCGUCGGGUGAGUUCGUUUGGGACUUGAAUCCAGUCUCGUCGAAGGG